rnacentral:rRNA from 1 species
UACGUAGGUGGCAAGCGUUGUUCGGAAUUACUGGGCGUAAAGGGCGCGUAGGUGGCCAUCUAAGUCAGACGUGAAAUCCCCCGGCUUAACCUGGGAACUGCGUCUGAUACUGGACGGCUAGAGUUUGGGAGAGGGAUGCAGAAUUCCAGGUGUAGCGGUGAAAUGCGUAGAUAUCUGGAGGAAUACCGGUGGCGAAGGCGGCAUCCUGGACCAACACUGACACUGAAUCGCGAAAGCUAGGGGAGCAAACGGG